CCUACGGGUGGCAGCAGUGGGGAAUAUUGGGCAAUGGGCGAAAGCCUGACCCAGCAACGCCGCGUGAGGGAAGACGGCUCUAGGGUUGUUAACCUCUUUUUUGCGGGACGCAGAAAGUGACGGUACCUAAGGAAUAAGACACGGCUAACUACGUGCCAGCAGCCGCGGUCAUACGGCGGAUGCGACAGUGAUCCGGAUUUAUUGGGUUUAAAGGGUGCGCAGGCGGAAGAUCAAGUCAGCGGGAAAAUUGAGAGGCUCAACCUCUUCGAGCCGUUGAAACUGGUUUUCUUGAGUGAGUGAGAAGUAUGCGGAAUGCGUGGUGUAGCGGUGAAAUGCAUAGAUAUCACGCAGAACUCCGAUUGCGAAGGCAACAUACCGGCGCUCAACUGACGCUCAUGCACGAAAGUGUGGGUAUCGAACAGGAUUAGAUACCCUGGUAGUC
rnacentral:rRNA from 1 species